GAGCAUGCUGGGUGAUCUCUAAGGUGAAGGAAGUAACUAGAGAAAGUACACAAGCCGUGAUAAGUUCCAGCCAUCUCUUGUGAUUACCUAUAUAGUUAGCAUUCUUUGUUUUAGCAAAGGACAGUGUGCGUCCUUCAGAAAUAACCACACACUCUUAGUUAACACACUUGUCAAGCCAUACACUGUGCUGUGCUGUUACUGCUCUGUAAAUCAGCGUUAUUAAACAGCCUCAACUGGAAUCCUACAGGCCUGUCAUCUGUGCCCUUACAAGCACCUGGGAGAGAACACGCAGUGCUAAGUAAAACCUAACCCUAAAGAAUAUACAGUCCACCAAGUCCUCAACUACACCCAGGGGGUUCUGCCUAACACCCAGACAUGGAUCCACCAGAUUUCCUCCAUUACCAACCACCCUCCAACUUUUCAUUACAUCAGCUCCUGUUAUUGUCAUGUCAUUAUUUUCUGAGAAAGAGCAAGACAACUAUCAUACUGGGCACAUAAUGUGAGAUGCACAGAUUAGCUAAAAACACUAGCACUGCUGGGCAGCAGCGUCUGUACUUUGCAGUUUCCCUCUUCCAAGACUGACUACCUGAUGAAAACAUGUGACCGGCAGAACCUCCCAGCCACACAAUACCCACCUCCUCUAUUCCACACACCAGAAUUCAGUAUUUCAGUCUAUGAUUGCCAUGUGAGUGUACAACAAAUCUGAAAGUAAAUCGACACACAUGUACCAACAAAAGUAUCAAAGUUUGUGCAUUUAAAUGUUCAAGAUGUUCAUUAUUGUAAACUGUAACUUAUCCCUUGAUGGUAUUUGUUAGUUCAACAUUGUUGUAUUAUAAGACAUACAAUAGAUAUAUUCAACCACAAGGGUGUACUAAUGAGCUAAAUCAGAGGACUAAUAUUACUUCAGUGUAGAUAAGGAAAGGCCUGUUUAAAAUUAAAACAUGCCAGCCAGACAAGCCAGUGUAUGAAUCAAAUGUAUUUGCAUAUGAACAGAGUGGAAAUUGGCUGACUUUGAUCUGUAAGGUAAGCAACAUUAAUGUGUGGGGAGGGGCAUUGAAAUGAUAUUAUUUUUUUACCCUGAUGCCUGUUUAUUCAUAAAAAUCAUAAGAUUAAGCAUAACCUUCAUCGCAAUAGUUAGCAUAUGCAAAUUAAUAGGAAUACAUUUAGCCUAAUUGAUAACAAAUAUGACAUGGAAAGUCAGGAUCCUAAUCAGGCUUUUGUUUGUCAAAUCCAGAUUAAAUAAAGGUCUUUGUGUGUCAAAUCUGUAGGUGCUUGUGGUCUAAAUCGAUGACAAACAGCUGAAAUGUUCAGGCUUCAUCAUGAUCUAUGAUCAGAACAGACUGGGGUGUUUUCGGUUCCGUUUAGUCUAACGAUAUGUGUAAGAACGCAAGUGCAUUGAAAUGAAUAGCCUGAUUCAAUGGAAUUCUCCUGAA